rnacentral:lncRNA from 1 species
AAAAGGGUUGAAGGGCUGACUCAGCAGCUGCUCUCUAGGAGCAGCCCAAAGCAGUCAGGAAAUGAGUGCUAUGAAGACUCCAGGAUGCAACUCCUUCCUAACAGGGAAUGGGAAAAAACAGUUCAAACUAUGUACAGAAUUUAAGGCCAGAAAAAGAGCAUGCAAUGAGGCAGACCUGCUUACUUGCUGCUACCUUCCAGGAGAGCCAAGAAGCAUGCUCUGGCAUUAACUUCACUGAAAAUGACUCCCAUCUUACAAGAAUUAAAUAUCAUCCUGGAAAAGAAAACGUUCACUUAGAUAACGAAAAUGACUGCUGGAAGCAUCACAGCAAGUGUCAGGCUCUGCCCAGGAUGUCUGUGGUUAGUAGUGAUUGAAACCUGGUCUCCAAAACCCCAAGCAAGUCUCUCCUCCCAGACUGGACCUCC